UCUCUCUCUCUCUCUCUCUCUCUCUCUCUCUCUCUCUCUCUCUCUCUCUCAAGCUCCAAAAGUUCAGUUCAUGCAGCUUGUUAGUCUUGUUUUGUUGUAUUUUUCGUUUAUAGUCAUGACUUUUAUUUUGUCUUUUUUGGUUAGUCUGGUUUCGUGUUUUCCAUCUUUUUUUUCAUUUGAUUUUCCUUUAUUUUGCCUUUAGCUGUUAUUCUGGUUCCGGGUUUCCUCUAUUUUAGUUUAUAUUUUGUCUCGUUUUGUUUUGUUUUGUAUUUUUCUGUUGGCUGGAUUUCAUGUUUCCUCAUUUUGUCGGUUCCUUUUGUUUUCAUUUCUCUUUUCUGUCUGUCUGUCUGUCUGUCUGUCUGUUUCUCCGCCUUUACUAUCGAUCCGUCUGUCUGUCUGUGUUUCUCAUUAGUGGUCUGUUUUCCUUGCUCUCUUCAUUUUUAUCUUCUUUUUGCUAAGUUUUCUUAUUCUAUCAGUUUCUCUCAUCUCCCUUUCCCUCUUCUAAAUAUUUUCUUUCUUACUUUUUUCCUUGUUUUUUCCUCGACACCCUGAGGUAUUUAUUUUUUAUACACGUCUUUUUUUUACCUACUGUUUCAUUUUAUUCACUAUAUCUCUUUUUCCUCUCUUCAUCAUAGUCUUUUCUUUCUUACUUUUUUCUUUGUUUCUUCCUCGACUCCUUGACGUAUUUAUCCUUUAUAUACUUCUUCUUUUAAUCUACUGUUUAAUUUUCCUCUUUAUUUCUCUUUUUUCCUCUCUUCAUCAAAGUGAGUCAUUGUAUUUUUAUCUCUUUUCACUCCUUUUAAUAUGCUAGUUCUUGCUUCCUUCUUCCUUAUUAUUAUUAUUAUUAUUAUUAUUAUUAUUAUUAUUAUUAUUAUUAUUAUUAUUAUUAUUGUUAUCUCCUAUACCUUCUUUCUUGUUCUUGUUUUCUUCUGCUCUUAUCAAUAUUAUCCUCCUCUAUGUUCUCCAACUUCGACCUCCUCCUUUUUGUUCUUGCUCUUGUUCUUUUUAAUGUCCUCUUAAACUUCUUUUUCCUUUUCCUUUUCCUCCUCCUCCUCCUCCUCCUCCUCCUCCUCCUCCUCCUCCUCCUCCUCCUCCUUCCCUCAGGCCCGAACAUAAGCCUACUUGGUGUAAAAUCAUCCUGACGAAGGAAGCUAACGCCCCAAGCUUCCUCCUCCUCCUCCUCCUUCUUCACCCCUCCAUGUAACGCCCCUCCUCCAUUACGUUCUUCCUCUUCCUCCUCCUUCUCCUACUCCUAUUAUUAUUAUUAUUAUUAUUAUUAUUAUUAUUAUUAUUAUUAUUAUUAUUAUUAUUAUUAUUCCUCUUCCCCCUUCUCUUUCCCCUUAACUUAUUAUUCCCUUAGGCACUCCUCGCGCCCACCCUUCCCUCCUCCCCCUUCCCAUCCCUUCCCCCUCCAGCAGGUAAUCCCCCCCUGCCCCUUCUUUCCUUCCCUUCACCUGUCUCCCCGUCAACCGCAGGUAACCUAAUUAGUUCUCACGUUUCACCUUCCCGUCACUUACUUUCCCUUUUCUUCCUUGUCCUUCCCUUCCUGUUGCCCUAUUUCUUCUCCUAUUUCCCCUUUUUUAUUAAUUUGUACUUCUAUUUUCUCUCUUUUUUUUUAUUUCUCUCCUAUUCGCUUUUCUGUUUCCUUUUCUUUGUCUUUCUAAAUGUCUCUUGCUUUUCUUUUUCCUUUUUCCUUUCCCAUUUUUUAACUCAUUUUCUCGUUUCUCUUACUUUCCUGUACUUAUUUCCUCUAUCUUUUCCUACCUCUUCUUCUUUCUUUCCUUCUAUCAUAUCCUUUCCCUUUCCUUUUUCUUUUCUUUCGUUUAUCACUUUCGUAUUUUUUUCGUUCUUCUUCCUAUUUCUUCUCUCUCUGCAUUUUUUUUUCAUUUUUUGCUCUUCUACUCCAUUUUCUAUGUGUCUUUCUUUGUCUUUUAGCUUUUUCUCCUUUUCCCCUUCUUUUUUUUACUUUUUUCCUCUUCUCUUCCUUUUCCGUAUUUAUUUCCUAUCUUCUCUUCCUUCCCUCCUUCUGUCCUAUCCCUUUCCUUCUUCUUUCCUUCGUUUGUCUCUGUAAUUAUUUUCCCUCUCUCCUUUCCUAUCUCUUCUUCCUUCUCUCCUUCUAUCCUAUUCCUUUCCUUUCGUUUAUCUCUCUUCCGCUACCCUCUCCCUACUCUCUCUUUCCUAUUCCAUUCCCUCUCCCUACCCUACAUUUCUAUUCCAUUCUCUCACCAUCUCUCUCUCCUCUCCUUUCUCCCUCUCCCUCUACCCUUUGCCCGUCUCCCAUACCUCUUCUCUCCCGUUCCCUUUAAACUCCUCACACCCACACCCACCCACACACACUCUCCCUCUCUCUCUCCCUCUUCCUCUUUCCCUCUGGUCAUCCCCAUCUCAGUAAAAGAGUCACAAAGUUCACCCAAACAAACACACUACAGUAACUAACAACCUUAUCUCACCCACGCACAACAGCACUGGCAACGAACAACACCUCCAGGCUCAACGAAGCACAGCGGCAACAUAACAGUAACACAAGAACAACAACAUCCUGUCUCAGCGAAGGAGAUUAGGAGCAAGUUCAAUAGCAUUUCUCUCUCUCUCUAUCUCUCGUCGUGUGGGGGUGAGGGAGGGAACACGUGAUAAAGGAAACGAAAGGGGAUAAGGACAGGAAAAGUGAGGGAGGAGAGGAAAGAAAGCAGAAGGAAGAAAAAGGGCAUUCGUUCUUAUUCCUCUUUUUCCUCUCUCUGCAUUUCCUCUUUUUUUUCUCUCUCUCUUCUAUUCACGUUUGUUUGUGUGGAGGGAGGAAAGGGAAGGGAUAGAGAGAAGGAGAGGUAAAGGUGCGGGGAAUGGAAGGGAAUGUUGUAGAAAGAAAGAGAGAGAGAGAGAGAGAGAGAGAGAGAGAGAGAGAGAGAGAGAGAGAGAGAGAGAGAGAGAGAGAGAGAGAGAGAGAGAGAGAGAGAGAGAGAAAGCGAGGAAAAAGAGGGGUAUAAAAAGUGUGAUGUGAUAGGAGAAUUGCGUGGGUAGCUAAGAACAUCCUGCCCAGCUGCCCGGUCUGGUGAUGUAAUUGUAAUAGCCUGAGGCGCUGAGAGAGUAAGAUAUUGAAGUGAGAAUACUGUAAAAUGAAAAACAAUUAUAAUGAUAGUUAAGGGGAAAAGAAGGAUAGUGAAGUGAGAAUCCUGUAGAAAGGAAAGCAAUUAGAAUGAUAGUUGAGGGGAAAGGAAGGAAGAUGGGGUAGAGGUGGAGCAAGGAGAAGAUGGUGAGAGAAAGUCUAGUGAUGUAACAGUAGCUGGAGGUGGCGAGAGAGAUGGUUGGUGAAGUGAGAAUGUUGUAGGUUAGGUUAGGUUAGGUUAGGUUAGGUUAAUUAGAAUGAUAGAUAAAGGGUGUGGCAGGAGGAUAGGGUUAAGGGGGAAUAGAGGAGAAAGAUAGUUAGAGGGAAAAAGCCUGGCCUGGUGAUGAGACAGUUAAAGAAUCAUAGUGAAGAGAAAAUACUGAAAAAGGAAAGCAAUUAGGAUGACAUUUAAAGGGAACAGGACGAGGAGGAGGUGGUGAAGAUGGGACAGAGGUGAAAGAUGUUAAGAAAGGUAUGGUAAAGUAAGAAUACUGGUGAAGGGAAGUGAAUAGAAUGAGAGAGUUAAGGGGGAAUAUUGAAAAAGGAAAGCAAGUAGAAUGACAUUUAAAGGGAACGGGACGAGGAGGAGGUGGUGAGGAUGGGACAGAGGUGAAAGAUGUUAAUAAAGGUAUGGUAGAGUGAAGAUACUGGUGAAGGGAAGUGAAUAGAAUGAGAGAGUUAAGGGGGAAUAUUGAAAAAGGAAAGCAAGUAGAAUGACAGUUAAAGGGAACGGGACGAGGAGGAGGUGGUGAAGAUGGGACAGAGGUGAAAGAUGUUAAUAAAGGUAUGGUAGAGUGAAGAUACUGGUGAAGGGAAGUGAAUAGAAUGAGAGAGUUAAGGAGGAAUACUGAAAAAGGAAAGCAAGUAGAAUGACAGUUAAAGGGAACGGGACGAGGAGGAGGUGGUGAAGAUGGGACAGAGGUGAAAGAUGUUAAGAAAGGGUAUGGUAAAGUGAAAAUACUAGUGAAAAGAAGUGAAUAGAAUUUGAGUUAAAGGGGACGGAAGGAUAUAUAGUGGUAAACAUAGGUGAGAGGAGAAAGAAGAUUAGAGGGAAAGUAAGUAAGGUGUGGAGGGGAGGAACAGAGAAGGGAAAGGAAAAGAAAUGAAGAAGGGAAGGUUAAAUGAUAAUGACAAGUAAUGAGAUUGAAAACUAAUUAGAAGCGGCAAAAGGAAGGUAAGGGAGGGAAAGGAAAAGAGGGAAAGGAAACGUGAGGGAGAAAGGGAAAAUGAGGUAAACAGUAAUAAUAAGAAUACUGUGAGAAUGAGAAUUAAUUAAACAGUUGCAGGAAAAGUAAGGUGAGGAGGGGGAAGGAAAAGAGGGAAAGUAAAAGAGAGGAAAAGGGAAAGGAAAAGUAAAUAAUAAUAAAGAGUAAUGAGAGAAUAAAAAAUAACAAGAAAAUAA